rnacentral:lncRNA from 1 species
AGGCAAAGUAAUUCUCUUAAAAACUUUGAAGGGUUUGCUAUUGUUUUAUGGACUUUUAUAACUAAGAUAUUCAUAAAGUGUUUCUUGAUUAGUUAUUAAGAGACCACAAUGUAUAAAUUGCUGCCAAGUACCACAAAGAAAUACAAUAUAUAGGAUCUUGUUUGACUUGAAGAGUCAUAAUCAUGUAAUUGUCAUAAUAAUUGGUUAUUGUGAUAUUUUUAAUAUUUACAAGAAAGGGAUAUUUGUAGUUCAACAAAUAAUUGUGGGCUUAUCUAAAAUCUUGCCAAAUAUUGCAUAUACAGCAUAUAUGACCACUUGGUUUUAAUCAAUAUUUCUCAAAAGAUGCAUACUAUCUAAUCUGUGGAAGUUUGUAAGCAUAUAAAAAGACAAGUACCACAUGGAGACUCUAAAAAAGUUGAAGUCAAAGAAGCAAAGAGUAGAAUGGUGGUUGCCAGUGAAGGAGAGGUUGGGAUUAGAUGUUAGGAGACAUAAACUUUCAGUUAGAAGAAAUAAGUUUAAGAGCUCCAUUGGACAAUACCACAUGACCAGUUAUUAUCAACAUCUGUACUUGAAAAUCAUGAAAAUAGUAGAUUUUAGGUGUUCUUAGCUAAAAAAAAGUAUCUGAAAUAAUUUAACCAUCCUAUAAUAUGUAUUCCAAACCAUUAUGUUGUACACUAAAAAUACAUACAUUUUAUUCAUCAAUUAAGAUGAAAUAGGAAACAAAAUAGGAACAAACCUUAUUAUAACUAAAUACAGUCUUAGAUAAAGUCAAACUUGGAUGUGUCAUUUUGUAGGUGAGAAAAUCGACACAAAUAAAAAAAAUGAGAUAGUUCUGAGUCAUAGUGAUUAUCUAUACAACUUUAGUUUUGUCACUAAGAUCUUGAAUAUUGCUAGAGAUGGCAGAUGGUACAUAUGAUUUAAAUCUUUCUAAAGAGUUGCUAAGUACUCAAUUAAAAACAUCUUAGAUAAUUAUGGAAAUGAACAAACAUAAAGAUGGAAGAAUAUGUGCACAUAUCAUAAAAUAAAUAUACAAUACAUAUAGAUGUAUAUUGAAAUAUAUGUAUCUCAAUGGCUGAGACAGUUGUAAAUAAAAUUGUACUUUAAUCAUAUUGUAAUGAAUAUUACAUUUUAUCAGAUGUUUUAAAAUGUUAAAUCACAUGUGUCUUGUCCUAUAAUUAUUUAUUGAUCUGACCAAAUGUGUGUAUGAAGAAAAUGCUGAUCUUAUAUGUUGAGGAAGAGUAGCUUUUAGUAGCAUUUUAGAAAAAGAAGUCACUUUGAGUGACCCUUUUUUAUAUAGGUCUUGACUGCUCUUAAUUUGAAUUGAAUAGGUAAUUAGCAGGGAGAAUUACCUAGAGAACACAAGUUAUUUUCAGUUGUCCACUGGGAAUUAGUUAGUAAGGAUUCAGCCUAGUGUAC